rnacentral:rRNA from 1 species
GGACAGUGUAUGGUGGGCAGUUUGACUGGGGCGGUCUCCUCCCAAAGUGUAACGGAGGAGCACGAAGGUGCGCUAAUCACGGUCGGAAAUCGUGAGGUUAGUGUAAUGGCACAAGCGCGCUUAACUGCGAGACUGACAAGUCGAGCAGGUGCGAAAGCAGGUCCUAGUGAUCCGGUGGUUCUGUAUGGAAGGGCCAUCGC